rnacentral:rRNA from 2 species
UCCGGUGGUCAUAGCGAGAGGGAAACGCCCGGCCACAUUCCGAACCCGGAAGCUAAGCCUCUCAGCGCCGAUGGUACUGCAAGGGGGACCUUGUGGGAGAGUAGGACGCCGCCGGAC